rfam:Dipodomys ordii ctg_broad_rename0002384, whole genome shotgun sequence.
GGGAAUGUGGCUUAAUGGGAGAGUGCUUGCUUCACAUGCAUGAAGCCCUGAGUUCGAUCCCUCAGUACCA